UGCCGUAUAAGAUAUUGAGCCUUUCUUGCAACUUACAUGCCUUGUAGUUAAGUGUAAGUCGCAGCAGCAGUUCGACCUCAUUACCGGUCCGUACGAAAGAUUUUGAUUUCCUUGCACUAGCCAUUUUCAUCUUCUUCUUGCUGUGUUCGGUUUCUCCAUCUACUGUCUGUUUUGUUUACAGCGUAAACGGAGCGUGAGUGACGAGGAAGAAGGAGCUCAGAGCUAAUGGCGUCGAGCAACUGACAGUGGCCUGUGUGUGUCAUCAGUGUCGUGUUUUAUCACUAAGGGGCUGUGAUCUGUUGUCAGACGACGUGCCGUGAGUGUGUUAGUUGGACUCUCCAUUGCUGUCGAAGUGUUUGUGUUUAAUUGGACACGAAGCUGUGACGGAGCUAGGCUAGCGGCACGGCCAUUGUCGAGGAGGCCUGCGCUGACAGGAGGAGCUUUGCCGGGGCGCCACGGAGAGUGUUGCCGACGGAGGGUGCUUUGCUGCUGCAGAGGGACAUGGAGGUUUAUCGCUGUGAGCAUUGUGUUUCUUUAUUCAUACCACUCUCUUUUAUUGUUUUCCAGCUGUCUGUAAGACAUUACGAGACAGUACAACAAACAACCAGUCGAUCGAGAACAAAGAUGCUGCUGGAAGCGAGAAAGAGUGCUAGCUGAGGAUGAGGUGGACCUUUUAAUGUGCGCCGCCAUAGACCUGAUGUCUGAAGAGGAAGACGGCACAAGAUGGAGGGGUGUCUGGAUGGAUUGUGUGACCGCCAUCUUUUCGCAGCCAGGAGCUCACACUGCAGGCACAUGAGAGGCGAUUCCGAAAUACAGGGCAGCGCACCACAGAUGUCUGCAAAAACAGAGACACUUGGCGGUGCUGUAGGAUUUUGGCCUUCUCGUGAGCAUCCCAUUUGUUGUGUGGGCAGAUUAUGCUUUGUACAUGCUGUGUGUUUAUGCUUAUAACACUCUUUCUUUGAAUAAACAACACCUUCCUGGCAAAUGUAUGGAAGCACAUCUGUUCCAUAAUUCAAAUUAAAAUGGAUUAACAGAAAUGCUUUUUCAUUUUCAGAAUAUAGCUGCAUUUUUGACUCAUAAAUAAAAUGAGUAAUAAAUCA